AUUUGUUCCUUCAUCUGUGAGACUAGGGUGAGUCCUCCGAGCUAGUGUGAGACACUUGGAACUUGGAACUGCAAUCUUUUGUUUUGAUCGCCUUUCUCAGCUGUCCACUAAGCGACAUCAAUAGCUGAAGCGAUUUCUACCAAGUGGAGAAGGCCAAAAAAGCUGGCCUGACUGGCUAGUGACACUUUCGUUCUAUCUCAGGAGCCGGCUGACUAACUUCCUGUGCUGUGAAGAAGGCAUUUCUGGAAUUUUAGUGGGGAAGGAAUUUUCUUGGUAGUUCGGAAGUGGUUAAACUGCUGGUUUCCUUUACCCACUUGCUGACCGUAUUAUCUACUGUCAGACUCACUGAUAUGACGUCUAAGAGACGAACCAGCCAAGUCAAGCAGUUGCAGAUACUCAUCAGGAAAAGCAGUGUCUCAUCUUGAGACACACGGACGUCAGGCGUCUCAAACGCAAACCUGUCUGUGUGCAGUUGGCUGUUUCCUGUGAAUUGAAAUGUUCCCUGGUGAGUUUGUCAGGAGUGUGAAGAGGCUCAAGACUCAGGAAGAUAAUGAAAGUUACAAGGCUUGCAAAGCUCAUAAAAGUUACAAGAUCCACCAGUAAUUGCUGGGAGAAGAAGAGAUUGUCCUCUGGCACUGAGCCCCAGUUGUGGAGGGACCAUUAGAGAUGUGGCUUCUGUGAGCUGAUCCGGAAUGAUCAGCACAAAGCAGUGUUAAGUACAGAAAUACAAAUUCGGAACACAGGUUCAAUAGCAUCACACAGUUGCCAGUUUCACGAAGUUUCUCAGUUAAAAUGGUCGUCUACUGAAAUUAACAAGGUGCCAAUGACUCAUGGGAUUGUCAGGAGUAGAAAACAUUGGAAGAGCUAAAACAGAAAGAAACAAACAGACCGCCCCCAACCCUUGCCACAUCCCAAACAAAACAUCUGUUGGUGAGACACAAAUGGACCUGCACUUAAACAAUUUCAUGCUACUUGCAGCUGAAGAAGGAAGUUGCAAACUAAAGAGACAUAUGAUACCUUCUUAUUUAAUAACUUCUAGAAUGCCAAGAGAAUAGAGAUUAUUUAUCCCACCUGAUGAGUUCUCCAUAUGGGGACUGUCCCUGUUGAAAUGGUCAACC
rnacentral:lncRNA from 1 species